UACGGGGGGAGCAAGCGUUGUUCGGAUUUACUGGGCGUAAAGGGCGCGUAGGCGGCCACCGCAAGUCACUUGUGAAAUCUCCGGGCUUAACCCGGAAAGGUCAACUGAUACUGUGCGACUAGAGUGCAGAAGGGGCAACUGGAAUUCUCGGUGUAGCGGUGAAAUGCGUAGAUAUCGAGAGGAACACCUGCGGCGAAGGCGGGUUGCUGGGCUGACACUGACGCUGAUGCGCGAAAGCCAGGGGAGCGAACGGG
rnacentral:rRNA from 1 species